rnacentral:rRNA from 1 species
UACGUAGGGUGCAAGCGUUAAUCGGAAUUACUGGGCGUAAAGCGUGCGCAGGCGGUUUUGUAAGUCUGACGUGAAAUCCCCGGGCUUAACCUGGGAAUUGCGUUGGAGACUGCAAGGCUGGAGUCUGGCAGAGGGGGGUAGAAUUCCACGUGUAGCGGUGAAAUGCGUAGAGAUGUGGAGGAACACCGAUGGCGAAGGCAGCCUUCUGGGCCAACACUGACGCUCAUGCACGAAAGCGUGGGGAGCAAACAGG